AUUAUCCCAGAAGUUGUUUUUUCAUGGUUCGAUAAUAUUUGGCAAGGUUGUCAGAAGUGUAAACACUUUUAGCCGGUAAGGAGCAAUGUAAGACUUCUCCCAGCUGUCAGAGACUCUUGAAAGAAGGCCGGAAAAAGAAAGUGUUAGAGGGACAACCUUUCUUUUACUGCUAUCUCCUCGAUCAAAACACGAAAUCGUAACUGACUUGAAUUCUCGGAUACUAGUGUUAAGUCUCAAUUCGGGCGGCCAAGCGUCACUAAAUACAGAGACAAAUUUUGUCAGAUUUCAAACAAACUGAACACGACCUUAGUGUCAAUGACGUAGAUCGCUAUUAACACGAAAAUAUAACAAACAUCUGUGAAAGAGAAUCAAACCAAAAAUGGAGGAAAGAUCUCUGGAAGAAAGAAUCGCAUUGGCUCUCAUUCUCGGACUUAUUAUUAUAUGUGGGGUCAUUGGAAACGCUUUCGUUAUCAUUGCGACUAUCAAAUUCGAACGAAUACGUCGAACCAACUCUAACUUUCUUCUGCUCAAUCUUGCAAUAGCAGACAUUCUCAGUUCUUCGGUGAUAAUGCCAUACCAUUUGGCAACGGUGAUUAAUUUGGACAUAGUUAGUUCUAAUGGAGUGGUUUGCUGGAUUGGUGGCGCGAUUACAUAUCCUAUUCUCAUAGCCUCAACUUUGACUGUGGUAAUGUUAGCAGCGGAUCGUUAUAUCGCGAUGAUGGAUCCCCUACGAUACAAGGCCAGAAUAACAUCUAGAACUAUUAUCUACAUGAUUUGUUACACCUGGUUGCACUCUGUCUUUUUCGCAGUUCUUGCUGCCUCUUUAGUGAAAAUUGAAUUUGAUAAAGUGAGUUUGGAUUGUGGUGUGUCUUGGGACAAAACACCGUUGUGGUUCGGUGUAAUAUCAAUGAUCCUCAACAUCGUUGCACCAUUCAUAUUCAUGGCUUGCUCGAGUUUAAAAGUCUUAGCUAUUGCUAGGAAACAGCAUAAAAUAAUUGAAACCGAAGCAGCCAAGCGACAAGGAGGAAGGAACGCUAAAGUACGCGAAUCCAAAGCCACCUCAGCUAUCCUGUUAGUCAUCCUGUUGUUUCUCAUCGCGUGGCUACCCUACCUAGUUACGAGGGUCAUACGUGUCUUCAAUAUCAUUUUACCAUCAACGGCAUAUACCACCGCCAUAUGGAUUCUUCAUGUCAACGCUGUGGUGAACUUCUUUAUUUAUACGCGACGAAAUCAAGAUUACAGAAGGGCCUUUAUGUCUAUGAUAAAACCACGAAAUAGUUCAGAAAACUCGGUCGAGCCUUAUAGUUGUAAUUAAACAAAAAGUAUCCAUGACUUCUUGAAGAUGUGAAUGUGUUGCAUCAAGCAAAUUUUCUUGGAAAAAUGUAUGAAUUCGUCAGUACUUUGAAGCGUAUGUUGCUGGAAAAAUUAUGUUGUCAUCAUACAAAUCGAGGCGAGGCAAGCCUUAUACAAUAAUUUGUUAUCGACCAAUUGCUGUUUUUCUUGGUCGUUUUCUUUGAAAUGAAAGAAAUAGCCGGUUAUUGGUGACUUAUCUGUUAUGUUAACCAACACUGGCUGCAAUGUCCUUUCUUAUUUCAUUUUCUUGGGACCGAAUGCAAACCAACUAUCAACUAAAAAAUAUCAUCUAGAUACCUUUUAAAUUUAAAGAUGUGUCUGUUUUAACGAGUGAAUUGCCAUGGCUCUAUUCAGUGUUAAAUCAACCUGAACAUGGCCGUCUCUCGAAGUCACCCAUCCAUUCUCUUGACCAGAAUAAGUACUAACAAAUAUCCUCUAAAUAUAUUGGAAAAAGCGAUUCACGAAAUGUUUUGCUAGAUUUUGCGGUUUCUAUACGAAGGUUAGAAUGACGAAAGAAUAGCACAGCGAUAACCACUAAUGUCUAGGUGCGGACAGACGGUGCGGAGUGUAUUGCACGCGACGGUGCCAACAUCCCUGAAAAAGUAAUUUCUACUUCUGUGACGUUGCAUGCAACAUCACCUCGUAAGGCACCCCCACCCCUCCAUCCCCCAGAAAACUUCGCCUUUUUCGUGCAACGUCUAAGGCGAUGUCCCAUCGUGUGUCCGCACGAUAAGCAGAUAUUCAAACGAGGUAGCAAGGUAGGAAUGUUUAAAUUCAAACACCGUUGAACCUUAGUUAUGAGCAAAAAAGUCAUUUGACUUCACUAUAAAAUGCUCAAACCUCUACUUGUUUUAAUACGCAGCUACUCUUGCUUAAGAGGAAAGUAUUACGAACAAUAGUCCCCUUGACAGUUCCCUGCGCCAUCUUGAAAGGUAUAGCCGAGCCUUUGCAUCAAAGUGAGACGAACGGUGAGCUUGCAAUGAUAGAGACCUUUUUUUAACACCUUGG
rnacentral:misc_RNA from 1 species